UAGGGAAUCUUCCGCAAUGGGCGAAAGCCUGACGGAGCAACGCCGCGUGAGUGAUGAAGGUCUUCGGAUCGUAAAACUCUGUUAUUAGGGAAGAAUAAAUGUGUAAGUAACUAUGCACGUCUUGACGGUACCUAAUCAGAAAGCCACGGCUAACUACGUGCCAGCAGCCGCGGUAAUACGUAGGUGGCAAGCGUUAUCCGGAAUUAUUGGGCGUAAAGCGCGCGUAGGCGGUUUUUUAAGUCUGAUGUGAAAGCCCACGGCUCAACCGUGGAGGGUCAUUGGAAACUGGAAAACUUGAGUGCAAAAGAGGAAAGUGGAAUUCCAUGUGUAGCGGUGAAAUGCGUAGAUAUAUGGAGGAACACCAGUGGCGAAGGCGACUCUCUGGUCUGUAACUGACGCUGAGGCUCGAAAGCGUGGGUAGCAAACAGG
rnacentral:rRNA from 1 species